CUCUGGAGAUGAGGGUGGUCUCUUAUCCCAGACGAGCACCCAAAUGAAAGAUCCCCGGAGCAGGGAGACCCUCAUUCAAGUCUCAGUAUGACAAGACCCACCAAGAACCCAUGAGAGA
rnacentral:pre_miRNA from 14 species